GACGAACGCUGGCGGCGUGCUUAACACAUGCAAGUCGAGCGAGGCCCUUCCUUCGGGAAGGAGCCCUAGCGGCGAACGGGUGAGUAACACGUGGGCAACCUGCCCCUAGCACUGGGAUAACUCCGGGAAACCGGGGCUAAUACCGGAUAUGACCUUUGAGGGCAUCCUCUUUGGUGUAAAGGAUUCUGGCUAGGGAUGGGCCCGCGGCCUAUCAGCUUGUUGGUGGGGUAACGGCCUACCAAGGCGACGACGGGGAGCCGGCCUGAGAGGGCGACCGGCCACACUGGGACUGAGACACGGCCCAGACUCCUACGGGAGGCAGCAGUGGGGAAUAUUGCACAAUGGCGAAAGCCUGAUGCAGCGACGCCGCGUGAGGGAUGACUGCCUUC
rnacentral:rRNA from 1 species